rnacentral:lncRNA from 1 species
GGAAAAGCCACAGCUGGAUGUGCCCACUUCACCUCUGGCUCCUUUCUCAGGCAUGCUGCUGACAUUAGGAAGGAUGCAAUGCUCAUUGUCCGAGAUGAAUGGCUAUGUCUCAUAGCUAUCUGUCUGAGUCUCUCAGACUACAAAGGAAUCUGGAAGGAUUUGAUAGCUGAGGCUUUUCUUGUCGCAAGAACAAAGGCUUUGGAGGCAAUCUGAAGAACAUGGGCUUUCAGUGCCAGGGAUGGCAUGGACAACUGUGAGACUGUGAUCAUAGAAUCAGUGCUGUGUAUGGAAUUAAAGAAUAACAGGAGCUGGCAGAAAGGUGCGUGGGCUCAUGUCCCAGGCCUAUGCAGUGCUGGACCUUGGUGACUGUGGAAGGAUGUGACUGUGGAAGGAUGGAGCAGAGCAGUGCUGACCCCAUUGCAGGGACAACACUGUAUCUCUGGGGCUCUUUGGCGUUGGUUCCCUCUCACCAAGCACGGGUCCGUAUUGUGGAGACAAUGAAGAUAGAAGCAAAGGGUGAACGUGGAGACCAACUUCUCCCAUUUCAGGUUGUGCCUUCCAGUAAUUUUCAUAGAAUCACAGAAUGGUUUGAGUUGGAAGGGACCUCUGAAUGCCGUCUGGUCCCACUGCCUGCACUGAGCAGGGACACCCACAGCUCCAUCAGUGCUCAGAGCCCCAUCCAGCCUGACUGUGGGUGUGUGCAGGGAUGGGGCACCGCUACCUCUCUGGGCACCCCGUGCCAUUCCUCAC